GCUUAUAGACCAGACCUGUCACAUAUUUUCAGUAACAGGCAGCCAUAGCAAUGACCAUAAGAGUCUCAGAUCAUUAAGCAAUGUCUCACCGUGAUGUCAUGCAUUGAUGUACAGAGUUGUAAUCCUUUCAAAACAGACAGAUUGUCAGCGUGAUAAAGUGGAUAUAAACAAGCUUCUGAACAGGGAUGACUAAAGCUUUGGAAAAAUUCAUUUGCCUGAAAAAGGAGGAAAAAGGGUCCUAACACCAUGACCACCGGGCAGUACCAACCCGGCUAGAAUAACCAAAAGAUUAAUUUCCAUAUACCAGAUGGGAAACAGUCCAUUUUAAAAAACUGACGUGGGCCCAAGCAUUUCAGAGGCCAAUCCAAACUUCAGGAGCUCUCAGAUCCAGUUGCCAUUAUGGGUAUUGAUCCCACUCCCACUAAAAUCCGGGGUAGUGUUGGCAUAAACUUCAGAGGGUGCAGUAUCAGAAGGGAGCCCGAGUUAAGAUUCAUGAUCAUACCUACAUUUUUCUAAAGUCUGGGGACAUUUGCUAUCAAGGCUUUGGUUGGGACCAUCUCGAAAACUUUCACCAGCUAUCUCAUGAAACCAGCAGUACUCCAUUUAAAUCAACCAGGAAAAAAAAUGGAAAUCAAAGCAAACAGGUAGGAUUUCCAGUCCAACGACGGUCCCAACUCAUUGACUUUGGCCUACUGAGCACCCUACAACUGAUGAGUGACCUCUGGUAACACUGGUCUACGAUUUUUUAGAAGUCAUCUGCUUCAGAGAUAAAAUGUGCUAUUUAUUAUGUAUUUUGAUGUGCUGAAUUCAAAUAUGACAAUUAAAACAACUGAUUGGCUACUGUUUCUAAGAUAUUUAAGUUUUUACA